UCCUACGGGACGCAGCAGUGGGGAAUAUUGCACAAUGGGGGAAACCCUGAUGCAGCGACGCCGCGUGAGUGAUGAAGUAUUUCGGUAUGUAAAGCUCUAUCAGCAGGGAAGAUAAUGACGGUACCUGACUAAGAAGCUCCGGCUAACUACGUGCCAGCAGCCGCGGUAAUACGUAGGGGGCAAGCGUUAUCCGGAAUUAUUGGGUGUAAAGGGUGCGUAGACGGGAAAUUAAGUUAGUUGUGAAAUCCCCAGGCUCAACUUGGGAAUUGCAACUAAAACUGGUUUUCUUGAGUACUG
rnacentral:rRNA from 1 species